CCUACGGGUGGCAGCAGUGAGGAAUAUUGGUCAAUGGCCGGAAGGCUGAACCAGCCAAGCCGCGUGAAGGACGAAGGUGCCAAGCAUUGUAAACUUCUUUUGUCAAGGGACAAAAUCAGGCUCGAGAGCCUGACCGAGGGUACUUGAAGAAAAAGCCCCGGCUAACUACGUGCCAGCAGCCGCGGUAAUACGUAGGGGGCAAGCGUUAUCCGGAUUUACUGGGUGUAAAGGGAGCGUAGACGGUUAUGCAAGUCUGAAGUGAAAGCCCAAGGCUCAACCAGGGGACUGCUUUGGAAACUGUAAAACUGGAGUGCAGGAGAGGUAAGCGGAAUUCCUAGGGUAGCGGUGAAAUGCGUAGAUAUUAGGAGGAACACCAGUGGCGAAGGCGGCUUACUGGACUGUAACUGACGUUGAGGCUCGAAGGCGUGGGGAGCAAACAGGAUUAGAUACCCUUGUAGUC
rnacentral:rRNA from 1 species